rnacentral:rRNA from 1 species
GACGAACGCUGGCGGCGUGCUUAACACAUGCAAGUCGAACGGAAAGGCCCUGCCUUUGUGGGGUGCUCGAGUGGCGAACGGGUGAGUAACACGUGAGUAACCUGCCCUUGACUUUGGGAUAACUUCAGGAAACUGGGGCUAAUACCGGAUAGGAGCUUCUGAUGCAUGGUGGGGGUUGGAAAGUUUCGGCGGUUGGGGAUGGACGCGCGGCUUAUCAGCUUGUUGGUGGGGUAGUGGCUUACCAAGGCUUUGACGGGUAGCCGGCCUGAGAGGGUGACCGGCGACAUUGGGACUGAGGGACGGAGCAGACGGGUACGGGAGGCAGCAGUGGGGAAUAUUGCCCAAUGGGCGGGAGCCUGAUGCGACAACGCCGCGUGCGGGAAGACGGCCUGCGGGUUGUGAACCGCUUUCGGCUGUGACGAAGCGUGAGUGACGGUACUGGGUGAAGAAGCACCGGCUAACUACGUG